UACGAAGGGGGCUAGCGUUGCUCGGAAUUACUGGGCGUAAAGGGAGCGUAGGCGGACAGUUUAGUCAGAGGUGAAAGCCCAGGGCUCAACCCUGGAAUUGCCUUUGAUACUGGCUGUCUUGAGUACGGGAGAGGUGUGUGGAACUCCGAGUGUAGAGGUGAAAUUCGUAGAUAUUCGGAAGAACACCAGUGGCGAAGGCGACACACUGGCCCGUUACUGACGCCUGAGGCUCGGAAAGCGUGGGGAGCAAACAGG
rnacentral:rRNA from 1 species